UGUAGGGGUUUUAUUGCAAAAAACGUCGCUUUAUGACCGUGAAAUUUAUGCCCGUGACCUCUCUCUCUCCCCCCCAAAUCUCAACUCGUGACUUCAAAAUUUUCCCCAAAUCCCCAAAUCCGCUUUCUCCUCCGACGACAUCAGCCCUCCUCCGACGACAUCAGCCCUCCUCCGGCGAGACUCGUUGCCGCCGUUCCCCAAAUCCGCUCACGAGAUCUCGAGCCUUCGCCUGCAACAGAGCCGUCGCUUCCCCAUAUCCGCUCACGAGUUCUCGAGCACUCCUCCAACGACAUCAGCUCACAAAUCUCGAGCCUUCGAAGGAGGAGGUCGACGAGAUCAUCCUUCUGAGCCGCCGCUUUCUCGAACGUCGUGCUGCUGAUCUCGCCGUCAUCAUUCUCGUCGUCAUCCUCGCUCGGACUCGUCCUCAUCCUCCCUCGGUCUCGUCGUCAUCACUCAGCUCGUCGUGCUGCUGAUCUCGUCGUCGUGCUGCUGAUCUCGCCGUCGAUCUGGUGUUGAUCUCGCCGUCGAUCUGGUGCUGAUCUCGUCGUCCUAAGCCAGAGUUCGUGAGCCAGAUCCGCUCAUCCUCCUCCGUCCUCCUCCCUCUGAGCCGACGCGAUCUCAAGUUCUACUCCGGCAAUCCUCUCUCAGUUUCUUCUUUAGGAGUUCGGAAUGGAGUCAGAGAAUUCAACUACUGUAGAGUUCAGAAUGGGAGAAUCAAGUGUUAUUGGAAGUGAAAUUGCGGCCAAUACUGACUAAAGGUCGUCCACGCAAUGCUACUAGAAUCCAAUCAGGUUUAGAACAAGCACAAGAAAAGAAAGAAAGGAAUAAACGUAUAUGUAGCAGAUGUGGUGAACUUGGGCAUUAUAGAACUAGCUGUAAAGUCAACUUGCCAAGCUCAAUUCUCGGUAAUGAUUAAAUUCUCGGUAAUGAAGGGCUUAAUAUUUUUGAGCUAUCUUGUAAAAUCCGAGUGAAUAGCAUCAAUGGUGGGUGGUUGGAACACAGGUUGAGCAUUCUCUUUUAUGCAGCUAUCUUGUAAUGUGAUUUGAGCUUAUAUUCAGCUACUUUGGUUGUAACUUUGGAGGUUAAGUCUGUCUUUGAUGAAACUCUGUUUGAUGUUGUAACUCAUGAUGUAACUCUAUUUGAUGCUUGUAGCUUUGCUUUGGCUUAUAUUCAGCUACUUUGGUUGUAGCUCAAUUCUCUUUUAUGUAACUAUCUUGUAAUGUGAUUUGAGCUUAUAUGCAGCUAUCUUGUAAUGAUUA